rnacentral:rRNA from 1 species
AGAAUCAUUCACAAUGGGCGAAGGCCUGAUGGUGUGACGCCGCGUGGAGGAUGCAGGUCUUCGGAUUGUAAACUCCUGUCAUGUGAGAGUAAAGCCGGGCGUUAACUGCGCGCCGGUUUGAGAGUAUCACAAGAGGAAGAGACGGCUAACUCUGUGCCAGCAGCCGCGGUAAUACAGAGGUCUCAAGCGUUGUUCGGAAUCACUGGGCGUAAAGGGUGCGUAGGCCGCACGGUAAGUCAGAGGUGAAAUCCCGGAGCUCAACUCCGGAAUGGCCUCCGAUACUGCCGUGCUCGAGGACUGGAGAGGAGUCUGGAAUUCACAGUGGAGCAGUGAAAUGCGUAGAUAUUGUGAGGAACACUAGUGGCGAAGGCGAGACUCUGGACAGUUCCUGACGCUGAGGCGCGAAAGCUAGGGGAGCAAAC